UAAGGAAUAUUGGUCAAUGGACGCAAGUCUGAACCAGCCAUGCCGCGUGAAGGAUGAAGGUCCUCUGGAUUGUAAACUUCUUUUAUCUGGGACGAAAACGGGAUUUUUAUCUCAAUUGACGGUACCAGAGGAAUAAGCACCGGCUAACUCCGUGCCAGCAGCCGCGGUAAUACGGAGGGUGCGAGCGUUAUCCGGAUUUAAUGGGUUUAAAGGGUGCGUAGGUGGGCUUAUAAGUCAGUGGUGAAAUCUCCGAGCUUAGCUUGGAAACUGCCGUUGAUACUAUAGGUCUUGAAUUAUCUGGAGGUAAGCGGAAUAUGUCAUGUAGCGGUGAAAUGCUUAGAUAUGACAUAGAACACCAAUUGCGAAGGCAGCUUACUACAUAUAAAUUGACGCUGAGGCACGAAAGCGUGGGGAUCAAACA
rnacentral:rRNA from 1 species